UACGGGGGGAGCAAGCGUUGUUCGGAUUUACUGGGCGUAAAGGGCGCGUAGGCGGUCGUGACAAGUCACUUGUGAAAUCUCCGGGCUUAACUCGGAACGGUCAAGUGAUACUGUCGGACUAGAGUACAGAAGGGGCAACUGGAAUUCUCGGUGUAGCGGUGAAAUGCGUAGAUAUCGAGAGGAACACCUGCGGCGAAGGCGGGUUGCUGGGCCGACACUGACGCUGACAGCGCGAAAGCCAGGGGAGCAAACGGG
rnacentral:rRNA from 1 species